UCCAAGUUUAUUCCUCUUGAGUUAGAGAGGCCAAUGAGUUCUGACGGCAUUGUUGGGACAUAAAAGGGCUGUAAGACUAACAUGUACAAGACAUGUUGAAGACUCGUGUCCGAAUAAAUGUCUGUUAAAAAUCAAGAACGACCUGAGCCUUUGCUUCAACUCGAGGGGAGUAAUAUA